CAAUAGCGUAUAUUUAAGUUGUUGCAGUUAAAAAGCUCGUAGUUGGAUUUCGGGUUGGCUUCAGCGGUCUCGCUUUGCGUUUGUACUGCUGCAGCCUACCUUCUUGUCGGGGACGGGCCUUCGGGCUUAAUUGCUUGGGGCCCGGAGUCGACGAUGUUACUUUGAGUAAAUUAGAGUGUUCAAAGCAAGCCUAUGCUCUGAAUAUAAUAGCAUGGGAUAACACGACAGGACUCUGGCCUAUCGUGUUGGUCUGUAGGACCAGAGUAAUGAUUAAGAGGGACAGUCGGGGGCAUUCGUAUUCCGUUGUCAGAGGUGAAAUUCUUGGAUUUACGGAAGACGAACAUCUGCGAAAGCAUUUGCCAAGGAUGUUUUCAUUGA
rnacentral:rRNA from 1 species